rnacentral:rRNA from 1 species
UGCAAGUCGAACGCGAAAGUCCAGCAAGGGAUCAGUAGAGUGGCAAACGGGUGAGUAACACGUGGGUGACCUGCCUUCGAGUGGGGGAUAACGUCCCGAAAGGGACGCUAAUACCGCAUGACAUCCUGCCUUUGAAGAGGUGGAGCUUAAAGCUGGGGAUCGCAAGACCUAGCGCUUGAAGAGGGGCCCGCGUCUGAUUAGCUAGUUGGUGAGGUAACGGCUCACCAAGGCAACGAUCAGUAUCCGGCCUGAGAGGGCGGACGGACACACUGGGACUGAGACACGGCCCAGACUCCUACGGGAGGCAGCAGUGGGGAAUUGUUCGCAAUGGGCGCAAGCCUGACGACGCAACGCCGCGUGGAGGAUGAAGAUCUUCGGGUCGUAAACUCCUUUCGAUCGAGACGAACGGCCCCUGGGCUAAUCACCAGGGGAGUGACGGUACCGAGAGAAGAAGCCCCGGCUAACUCCGUGCCAGCAGCCGCGGUAAUACGGGGGGGGCAAGCGUUGUUCGGAAUUACUGGGCGUAAAGGGCUCGUAGGUGGCCAACUAAGUCAUACGUGAAAUCCCUCGGCUUAACCGGGGAACUGCGUCUGAUACUGGAUGGCUUGAGGUUGGGAGAGGGAUGCGGAAUUCCAGGUGUAGCGGUGAAAUGCGUAGAUAUCUGGAGGAACACCGGUGGCGAAGGCGGCAUCCUGGACCAAUUCUGACACUGAGGAGCGAAAGCCAGGGGAGCAAACGGGAUUAGAUACCCCGGUAGUCCUGGCCCUAAACGAUGAAUGCUUGGUGUGGCGGGUAUCGAUCCCUGCCGUGCCGAAGCUAACGCAUUAAGCAUUCCGCCUGGGGAGUACGGUCGCAAGGCUG